rnacentral:rRNA from 1 species
UACGAAGGGGGCUAGCGUUGCUCGGAAUCACUGGGCGUAAGGCGCACGUAGGCGGAUUGCUAAGUCAGGGGUGAAAUCCUGGAGCUCAACUCCAGAACUGCCUUUGAUACUGGCGACCUUGAGUCCGGGAGAGGUGAGUGGAACUGCGAGUGUAGAGGUGAAAUUCGUAGAUAUUCGCAAGAACACCAGUGGCGAAGGCGGCUCACUGGCCCGAUACUGACGCUGAGGCACGAAAGCGUGGGGAGCAAACAGGG